rnacentral:rRNA from 1 species
GAGCGCAGGCUGCGAGGCAAGUCAGCGGUCAAAUGUCGGGGCUCAACCCCGGCCUGCCGUUGAAACUGUCCUGCUAGAGUUCGAGUGAGGUAUGCGGAAUGCGUUGUGUAGCGGUGAAAUGCAUAGAUAUGACGCAGAACUCCGAUUGCGAAGGCAGCAUACCAACUCGCGACUGACGCUGAGGCUCGAAAGCGUGGGUAUCGAACAGGAUUAGAUACCCUGGUAGUCCACGCAGUAAACGAUGAAUACUAACUGUUCGGAGGGCGACCUCUGAGUGGUAAAGCGAAAGCGUUAAGUAUUCCACCUGGGGAGUACGCCGGCAACGGUGCAACUCAA